GGACUACCGGGGUAUCUAAUCCUGUUUGCUCCCCACGCUUUCGCACCUAAGUGUCAGUGUUGGUCCAGGUAGCCGCUUUCGCCACUGGUGUUCCUUCCGAUAUCUACGCAUUUCACCGCUACACCGGAAAUUCCACUACCCUCUACCAGACUCUAGACAUCCAGUUUCGGAAGCAAUUCCCAGGUUAAGCCCAGGGAUUUCACAUCCGACUUAAAUAUCCACCUACGUGCGCUUUACGCCCAGUAAUUCCGAUUAACGCUUGCACCCUCUGUAUUACCGCGGCUGCUGGCAC
rnacentral:rRNA from 2 species